rnacentral:rRNA from 1 species
UACGAAGGGGGCUAGCGUUGCUCGGAAUCACUGGGCGUAAAGCGCACGUAGGCGGAUUGUUAAGUCAGGGGUGAAAUCCUGGAGCUCAACUCCAGAACUGCCUUUGAUACUGGCGAUCUUGAGUCCGGGAGAGGUGAGUGGAACUGCGAGUGUAGAGGUGAAAUUCGUAGAUAUUCGGAAGAACACCAGUGGCGAAGGCGGCUCACUGGACUGGUAUUGACGCUGAGGUGCGAAAGCGUGGGGAUCAAACAGG